rnacentral:tRNA from 1 species
GGGUGCAUAGCUCAGGUGGCUAGAGCGCCACGUUGACAUCGUGGAGGCCGCUGGUUCAAGUCCAGCUGUACCCA